rnacentral:rRNA from 1 species
AGUGAACGCUGGCGGUAGGCCUAACACAUGCAAGUCGAACGGCAGCACAGUAAGAGCUUGCUCUUACGGGUGGCGAGUGGCGGACGGGUGAGGAAUACAUCAGAAUCUACUUUUUCGUGGGGGAUGACGUAGGGAAACUUACGCUAAUACCGCAUACGACCUACGGGUGAAAGCAGGGGAUCUUCGGACCUUGCGCGAUUGAAUGAGCCGAUGUCGGAUUAGCUAGUUGGCGGGGUAAUGGCCCACCAAGGCGACGAUCCGUAGCUGGUCUGAGAGGAUGAUCGGCCACACUGGAACUUGGACACGGUCCAGGCUCCUACGGGAGGCAGCAGUGGGGAAUAUUGGACAAUGGGCGCAAGCCUGAUCCAGCCAUACCGCGUGGGUGAAGAAGGCCUUCGGGUUGUAAAGCCCUUCUGUUGGGAAAGAAAAGCAGCAGGUUAAUACCCCGCUGUUCUGACGGUACCCAAAGAAUAAGCACCGGCUAACUUCGUG